rnacentral:tRNA from 1 species
GGGGCUGUAGCUCAAUUGGGAGAGUGCUGCGUUCGCAAUGCAGAGGUUGUGGGUUCGAUCCCCAUCAGCUCCA